CAGUCGCCACGGAAUACGAAUGGGGCUAGCGUUGUUCGGAAUUACUGGGCGUAAAGGGCGCGUAGGCGGCCAUUCAAGUUAGAUGUGAAAGCCCUGGGCUCAACCUAGGAAUUGCAUUUGAUACUGAUUGGCUAGAGUUCGGGAGAGGUGAGUGGAAUUCCCAGUGUAGAGGUGAAAUUCGUAGAUAUUGGGAAGAACACCAGUGGCGAAGGCGGCUCACUGGACCGACACUGACGCUGAGGCGCGAAAGCGUGGGGAGCAAACAGGAUUAGAUACCCCAGUAGUCCCUGUCUCUUAUACA
rnacentral:rRNA from 1 species